rnacentral:rRNA from 1 species
UACGUAGGGUCCGAGCGUUGUCCGGAAUUAUUGGGCGUAAAGGGCUCGUAGGCGGUUCGUCACGUCGGGAGUGAAAACUCGGGGCUUAACCCCGAGCCUGCUUCCGAUACGGGCAGACUAGAGGUAGGCAGGGGAGAGCGGAACUCCUGGUGUAGCGGUGGAAUGCGCAGAUAUCAGGAAGAACACCGGUGGCGAAGGCGGCUCUCUGGGCCUUACCUGACGCUGAGGAGCGAAAGCAUGGGUAGCGAACGGG